AGGUCAAUCGCAUAAUGGUAUUGCGCCGGUCUCCAAAACCGUGUGGACAAAGUGUCCGUUGUGGGUUCGAAUCCUACUUGACCUGCCA
rnacentral:tRNA from 2 species